UCGCAUUUCGCUUGAAAACUUCAUUAGGAUCUUCCGUAUGAGACUGUAGACGCGCAACAGAAGCAAUAUCAUUACCGCUACCAUACGGGGACGGUGGGUAAGCCCUCGGCGGAAUUGCAGGGCGUGGGAAAGCAGCAGCCCCCAUAUUGGAAGCAAUCGAAGAAUUAACACUAUUACGCCCAAAACUAGAACUAGGACUCGGAGAAGGACUAGGGCUAGGGCUAGGAUUAGGCCUCCGUUGAGAAUAAAGUGGAGGGUCG
rnacentral:misc_RNA from 1 species